ACGGUUAUAAAUCAACAUAUUGAUUUAUAACCAUGGAAAUCCCCUGAGUGAAACAACGAAUUGCUGUGUGUAGUCUUUGCCCAUCUCCCACGAUGGGCUUUUUUUUAA
rnacentral:other from 2 species